AAUAAAGUCAGGUCUGCUACACACAAGCAUCCGUGGUGGAAACUGUCCCUGUUACAUGCAGAGCCUGGUGCAGGAGCUUUGCACUUCUGGCAGACGUGGCAAAGAAGGGAUGAGCUCUCCCUGAAGAGUGCCUAUCUACCUUGUGUCCUGCAGUCUCCUCCCUGCACGGACCCUCCUGCAAUGUCUCCAGACACCCUUUGCAUCUUAAUGACCCCAUACCACAUGGCCUAGCUCCAGCCCUGCCCAGGGGCUGUCAUAUGAGCCCCUGUCAUGCUACAUGCUGCCAACCAACCCAUACCCAGCCUCCUUCUUACAGCCCACCUUCCCUCAAUGGCUCCAAUGGCUCUGUUGUUCCUUUGUCGCAGUUGCCCAGCUCCCUCCCCAGUGAGAGCAGUGACUAACCCCUGCCACCUCCUCCCUGCGGGGAGCUGGAGGCCAUACGGAUACACACACAGCACAGAGAAGCCUGCACUUUUCCCCUCUGGACAACCAUAAGCCUACAAUAAAGCUGCAUGGGGAAAGCAAAUCAGGACAUAAAACAUUUUGAGAUCUUCAGAUGAAAGGGGUUAGUACAUCAUUAACAUCAAUUUCUUUGCCUGAGACACAUGUUAAGCACAGGACUGGGAAUAUGUAAGUCUGAUGUUUCAACCUUGGCUUUCUCACUGACCCCUCAUCUCUAACCCUGGUCAUGCAUUUUAAUACCAUUGCCUCCAUUUCGUUUCUAAAGGAAGAUGAUCCUAACUGCCCUGCCUUGCAAGGCUGCUGCAAUUGUGUAAUUAGGUAUGGCCUGUGGGUCACUGUAAAUGUAAAGAGCAAUAUGUAAGCAUUAUCUAUUUAUAAUAGCUUCAAAAUGCAGUGUCCUAUGACAGCGGGUGUACCACUGCAAUGUGCUCCCAGAGGAAAUCAGUCCUUCCACCUCAUGGCCUUGCUUCUCUCCACACAAAAGUGCAGUCUUUGGCAGUCUGUGCAGGGAAUUUCCACCCAUUACACCUGAAGCAAUCAAGAAAAAGGAAUUUCAGAUGCUGUCUCAGGAUGUCCUCACACCACAAAUGCAUUUAUCGUGCUGUUAUCCAAAGGGAUCUCUCUGCACUAGAAUACACUCCCAGGAGGCAGUUGCUCACUCACCGAGGGAGAACUGUGCAAAGCAUAACCACUGACCCAUGCUGAUCUUCCCAUCACUGCUGAAAUUUCCUACCAGUGAUAUCCUGCAGCAACGGAGCUUGGAGGAGAAGUCUGGGUGAAGGAUAUGUGCUUCUGUCUUCAAAGUAACAGUUGAAGCAGACUGAGGCAGAUCUCACACCAGAAUCAUGAGAGAGAAA